CUCUCCGCACUCGCUGCUCGCGCCGGGCGCGCUCCGCCGGCUCCCUGCUUUCCGCGCCACCCUCCUCCGGGCCGCGCUCCCUGAGGGAUGGUACUGAAUUUCGCCGCCACAGGAGCCCGGCUGGAGCGCCCGCCCCGCGGCCUCGCCUCCCCGCCGAGCCGCCAGCGCCUCGGGACGCGAUGAGGACCUGGGCUUGCCUGCUACUCCUCGGCUGCGGAUACCUCGCCCAUGCCCUGGCCGAGGAAGCCGAGAUCCCCCGCGAGGUGAUUGAGAGGCUGGCACACAGUCAGAUCCACAGCAUCCGGGACCUCCAGCGACUCCUGGAGAUAGACUCCGGGCCGAGGAUGCUUUGGAAGCAAGUCUGAGAGCCCACGGGGGCCAUGCCACCAAGCAUGCACCUGAGGAGCCGCCCGUGCCCAUCCGGAGGAAAAGAAGCAUUGAGGAAGCCAUCCCUGCGGUCUGCAAGACCAGGACGGUCAUUUAUGAGAUACCUCGGAGCCAGGUCGACCCCACGUCUGCCAACUUCCUGAUUUGGCCGCCGUGCGUGGAGGUGAAGCGCUGUGCGGGCUGUUGCAACACCAGCAGCGUCAAGUGUCAGCCUUCCCGCGUUCAUCACCGCAGCGUCAAGGUGGCCAAGGUGGAGUACAUCAGGAAGAAGCCAAAGUUAAAAGAAGUGCAGGUGCGGCUGGAGGAGCAUCUGGAAUGCACAUGCACAGCCAGCGGUCUGAACCCGGACCACCGGGAGGAGGAGACGGAUGUGAGGUGAGGAUAAGCCAGCAGCCCUUUUCCGGGACACGGAUGUACAUGGCGUGUUACAUUCCUGAACCUACUAUGUACGGUGCUCAUUGACAGCGUGCGGUCUUUGUUCUCCUCCGUGAAAAACCGUCUCCGUGCACACUCUGGAGAACAAAGAGACAGUACACAUUUGUUUAAUGUGACAUUAAAGCAAGUAUUGUAGCACUCGGUGAAACAGUAAGAAGCUUCCUUGUCAAAAAGAGAGAGGGAGAGAGAGAGAGCAAAGAGAACCACAAAACAUGACAAACAAAACGGACUCACGAAAAUACCUAAACAGUUGUUGGAAUGGAGGGACACCCCCGUGGGAUGGAAGCGACGUGCCUCGGCGGACCGGAUCUCUGUCCAGGGUCACAGGUGCUUCUGCCAGGGACACAGCCUGCUUUCUGGAGGACUCCGGGCGGGGGCCGAAGGGCCCCGCAGGGCACGUGGGAGCAGGGGUAUCUCAGAACCACCACGGGACUUAGAAACACAUCUCCUUGCUGUAGUGUUUAAGUCUAUCCAGAAACCUUCCCGAGAGCCUUAAGUGGAUUUUUUUUUUUUUUUUUUUUUUUUUACACCGUAAAGUGAUUAUUAAGCUUUCCUUUUUACUCUUUGGCUAGCUUUUUUUUUUUUUUUUUUUUUUAAUUAUCUCUUGGAUGACAUUUACACCGGUAACACCAGGCUGCUGUAAGUCAGGACAGUGGGACCGUAUUUCCCCUCGCAGGAUGCAAACAAAUGAGAUGUAUUAAAAUAAACAUGGUAUAUCCACCUAUGCAUCACUUCCUAAAUGUUUCUGGCUUUACGUGUUUCUCCCCUGCCCCAUUUUAUCUUACUUCUUAAUUUAAGCCAUUUCGAGAGAACUAUGCGUGAACCAAUCGAGUCCGUCCCAGGCCUGCCGCUCCCAGUUCUCGCCGCAGCGAGGUGGCCCUGUGCCAGUGUUUGGACAGAAUCUAAAUUCUUUAUUUUUGGUAAGAUGUUACGCUUUACAUGUAUUCAACAGAAAUGUGUGUGUGUUGUUUUUGUUUUCGUUUUGUAAAGGUGAAGUUUGUAUUUUUAUCUAAUAUUACCAGUUUUGUAUACCUGAGAGCCUGCUAUGUUUUUUCUUUGAACCAAAAGGAAAAAGAAAAACCCACCAACAAAACCCAUACACGUGAAAAGU